rnacentral:rRNA from 1 species
GACGAACGCUGGCGGCGUGCUUAACACAUGCCAGUCGAACGGAAAGGCCCUGCUUGCAGGGUACUCGAGUGGCGAACGGGUGAGUAACACGUGGGUGAUCUGCCCUGCACUUCGGGAUAAGCCUGGGAAACUGGGUCUAAUACCGGAUAGGAGCCAUUUUUAGUGUGAUGGUUGGAAAGUUUUUUCGGUGUAGGAUGAGCUCGCGGCCUAUCAGCUUGUUGGUGGGGUAAUGGCCUACCAAGGCGGCGACGGGUAGCCGGCCUGAGAGGGUGGACGGCCACAUUGGGACUGGGAUACGGCCCAGACUCCUACGGGAGGCAGCAGUGGGGAAUAUUGCACAAUGGGCGCAAGCCUGAUGCAGCGACGCCGCGUGGGGGAUGACGGCCUUCGGGUUGUAAACUCCUUUCGCUAGGGACGAAGCUUUUUGUGACGGUACCUAGAUAAGAAGCACCGGCUAACUACGUG